AUUGAACGCUGGCGGCAGGCCUAACACAUGCAAGUCGAGCGGAUGAAGGGAGCUUGCUCCUGGAUUCAGCGGCGGACGGGUGAGUAAUGCCUAGGAAUCUGCCUGGUAGUGGGGGAUAACGUCCUGAAACGGGCGCUAAUACCGCAUACGUCCUGAGGGAGAAAGUGGGGGAUCUUCGGACCUCACGCUAUCAGAUGAGCCUAGGUCGGAUUAGCUAGUUGGUGGGGUAAAGGCCUACCAAGGCGACGAUCCGUAACUGGUCUGAGAGGAUGAUCAGUCACACUGGAACUGAGACACGGUCCAGACUCCUACGGGAGGCAGCAGUGGGGAAUAUUGGACAAUGGGCGAAAGCAUGAUCCAGCCAUGCCGCGUGUGUGAAGAAGGUCUUCGGAUUGUAAAGCACUUUAAGUGGGGAGGAAGGGCAGUAAGUUAAUACCUUGCUGUUUUGACGUUACCAACAGAAUAAGCACCGGCUAACUUCGUG
rnacentral:rRNA from 1 species